rnacentral:sRNA from 1 species
AUAUUCAUCAUCGGAGUCUUCAGCUACAUCUGGCAUAUCAACAUCACUGCCUGAAUCAGCAGACAAAGCUUUCUCCAGGGUGCUGGUAAUUUGUAAGAGCAUGUCAGAGAUGCACAGGCCGCGAAGAUAAGAUUGGGCUUCCUCCAGCGCGUCAGUAACCGCCUGGGGAACAUCUUCAGUUGUUGUAUACACAAAGUAAUCGUGCUCCUUUGGGUAUAAAGAUAGGUCUAACAUGAAUUAGCAAGGUUUUGUUUUCCUUAUUAACAGGGAUAGAUCCAUACAUACCGGAAACAAGGAUCUGAAUUUCCACUGGCUUCCCAGAUGGGGUAUCUGGGGAAAAUGUGCAGGAAAUAACACCAUCAUCGUCACCAGCCUUCACACUCACCAUGUGCGAGGUUUUCCCUUGGCUUGAAGCCUCUUGCAAAUCACAUACAAAGUCUAGCCUCGGCAUGUUUGUUCUCAAGAUCCCUCUGUCACAGUGCAAAACAGGACUUUGGAGAGUGGGGAGUGCAAGCACUCAGAGAGAAUAAAAUGAAGUGUGCAGGACAAUGUGAUCAGAUACAUAAAAUGAAAAAAAAAGAGUGACUAGAAG